rnacentral:rRNA from 1 species
UGUCAGCCGCCGCGGUAAUACGUAGGUGGCAAGCGUUGUCCGGAAUUAUUGGGCGUAAAGGGCUCGCAGGCGGUUCCUUAAGUCUGAUGUGAAAGCCCCCGGCUCAACCGGGGAGGGUCAUUGGAAACUGGGGAACUUGAGUGCAGAAGAGGAGAGUGGAAUUCCACGUGUAGCGGUGAAAUGCGUAGAGAUGUGGAGGAACACCAGUGGCGAAGGCGACUCUCUGGUCUGUAACUGACGCUGAGGAGCGAAAGCGUGGGGAGCGAACAGGAUUAGAAACCCCAGUAGUCC